CUCCAGUUAGCCUAGUGGUAAGGCGUUGGAUCUCCAAUCCGGAGACGGCGGGUUCGAUUACCGCUCUGGUCG
rnacentral:tRNA from 1 species